UACAGAGGGUGCGAGCGUUAUUCGGAAUUACUGGGCGUAAAGCGUGCGUAGACGGUUAUUUAAGUCGGGUGUGAAAGCCCCGGGCUCAACCUGGGAAUUGCAUUCGAGACUGAAUAGCUAGGGUACGGUAGAGGGAAGCGGAAUUCCCGGUGUAGCGGUGAAAUGCGUAGAUAUCGGAAGGAACACCAGUGGCGAAGGCGGCGACCUGGGCCAAUACUGACACUGAGGUGCGAAAGCGUGGGGAGCAAACAGG
rnacentral:rRNA from 1 species